UUUAACCGACGCGAUAUCGUGUCGACGGUAGAUAAAAAAGAAUAAGUAUACACAGAAAACCGCCAGAGGGGCAGUUAAACUGGAAGUUACAUCUGCCCGCCGCAAAGUGGCAGUAUCGCGUCUUUAGUUGUAUGUACUUUUCAAAAAGUAAACGAAGAACGCGAUAAAUUACUCGAAUUCACUCGAGUAACUUUUUAACGCGAAAUAACGUUUCCAUAAAAAGGAAAGUGGCAAACGGUAACUCGGUAUUUGAAAUAGCGUGGUUACUAAAUCGACUUGGAACGCAUGUUCACUGUAUACUUAGAGGUUAGCUACGACGUAUCAGAAACUAAAUUUCCGGGAUAUAAAUUAUUCGUGCUUAACUUCCGGAUCCUUGAAACAGAGUUCAAAGAGUUUCCAUUCCCAAUUAGAAAAGAUAUAUAUAUAUAUAUAAAUUUAAGUAAAAAAUUGCAAAACUAUAUAAACUUAAAUUUUUAAAUUUUUAAAAUGUAAUUUUAGAAUGAUAUUAACGCGAUACUUCUGCUAAUGUCAAUCAUUUGAACUGAAAUUUUGUUUGAACUGUUAACUGGAAGUUAUUAUUCUCUAUAAGCAAACACGCUCCAAGCUGUCGAACAUUUGUGUUUCGAGUACCAUCAACGUCUAGGUUAUGUGUCGUAUAACUUCCUUCAAAGAUGUACAAAAUUAAUUAAAUAUUAGCUUUCAAUUGCCAUCUUAUCAUUUAAAAUUCCAUUUGUCUCUCUGAAUUAAUUCACCAAAAAAAAAGAAAAAUUAAGAAUAUUUUCCACCGUAAAUGAAGCAAACGUUAAAUGUUGUAUAUCGAUAACUGACUAAGUUCGUGUUUUUAAACGUGACUUUUUAAAAAGAAAAGAGAAAAGAAGAUUAAAAGUGUAGUCAAGUAUACUUGACCAAGUGAUUAAGCUUCGAGGAAAGCCAUUUUCCACGUGUGGUGGAUCGAAUUAACUACCGCGGUUUUUUAUCGAUAUUGCCGCAGAACGACAUUAAUUAUAUUAAACGAGGAGGUAAACUCGCACUCGAGUCGAGCUUUCGAUCGCGCGAUCCUU